UACAGAGGGUGCGAGCGUUAAUCGGAAUUACUGGGCGUAAAGCGUGCGUAGACGGUUAUUUAAGUCGGAUGUGAAAGCCCCGGGCUCAACCUGGGAAUUGCAUUCGAGACUGAAUAGCUAGGGUGCGGUAGAGGGAAGCGGAAUUUCCGGUGUAGCGGUGAAAUGCGUAGAUAUCGUCAAGAACACCGAUAGUGUAGACAGCUUACUAAGCUUUAACUGACGCUGAGGCACGAAAGUGUGGGGAUCAAACAGG
rnacentral:rRNA from 1 species